rnacentral:lncRNA from 1 species
AGCUAAUCGGGAGGCUGAGGCAGGAGGAUGGUGUGAACCCAGGAGGCGGAGCUUGCAGUGAGCCGAGAUCAUACCACUGCACUCCAGCCUGGGCAACAGAGCGAGACUCCAUUUCAAAAAAAAAAAGGAGGAACAACUCUACCAACAUCUUAAUUUUAAACUUCCAGCCUCCAGAACUUCAAGGAAAUACAUUUCUGUUGUUUAAGCCACCUAGUCUGUGAUACUUUAUCCACGCCUGGCUAAUUUUUUUGUAUUUUUAGUAGAGACGAGGUUUCACCAUCUUGGCCAGGCUGGUCUUAAACUCCUGACCUCAUGACCCACCUGCCUUGGCCUCCCAAAGUGCUGGGAUUACAGGCGUGAGUCACUGUGCCUGGCCCAUACUUUUUAAUAUAGGUGGAUUCUCUUGUCACAUUUUGCACCACUAAUCAUUUUACUGUCUCUACAGUUGUGCCUUUUCUAGAAUGUCAUAUAAUUAGAAUCAUACAGAAUGUAGCCUUUUCAGAUUGUCUUCUUUCACUUAGCAGUAGGCCUUUAAGGUUCCGUCAUGUCUUUCCAUGGCUUGUUGGCACAUUUUGUUUUUUUAGUCAAGAAAUAGUUCAUUAUAUGGAGGUGCCAUAAUUUGUUUCUCCAUUCACCUAUUGAUUGCUUCCACUUUUUGGCAACUAUGAAUAAAGCUACUCUAAACAUUUGCAAGCAGGUUUUUUGUAUGGACACAAGUUUUUAAAUCUAUUGAAUAAAUAGGAGUGCUAUUGCUCAAUCCUGUGAUAAGACUAAAUUUAGCUUUGUAAGAACUGCCAGUAUUUUCCAAAGUGGCUGUAUCAUUUUCCAUUUCCACCAGGAAUUAAUGAGUUUCUGUUACUUCCCAUCCUCACCAGUAUUUGAUAGUGUCUUUUUUUUAUUUUGGCCAUUCUAAUAGGUAUGUAGUUGUAUCAUGUAUUUUUCUAUUAUCCUAAAAUAUAUAACUCAGUACACACUGGAUUAUCAAUUAAUCUUUAUGAGAACCAUCUCUCCACUCUUUGUCAUUAGUUGGUUUGUUUUCAGGAGACAAAGCUUGAUCUUCAUGUAAGCCUAAGCAAACAUAAUUAAAAGCUGAAUUUGGCACUUUUUUCCCCUCUUCCAUUAGCAAGAAUUAUUCAAUUUACCAUUUAAUGAUGGUUCUAGUCACUCACACAGGAAAGAUAAAAACAGGAAAUUGUGACAGGUUUUUGAGACUCUUUUCAGCAAACACUGUUCUCACAAAUGGCAUGGUCAUAUAAUUGUAAACAACAUGAAACAUUAAGUUACGGGUGACCCCUUUCUAUGUAUAAAUAUUGCACACUAAGGUUAGGGUUUCAGCCAACUGGAAUCUGCAUUAUUGUCAAAUUGGCAUCAUCCCCUUUGAGUCACCAGGCUAUAUUUGUAUGUAAUAUUGAAGUAAAGCAUUAGUUGUAAAAUUGUUAAGAAAGGUUAAAAUUUUUACAGGGACAGUAGGGUCAGAAUUUGAAUGUUUUCUGAGCUGGGGAACUUGUGGUUGCUGAGGCUUGAUAUGGAAAACAGAAGCAAGAAAUAGCCUACAUAAUUAGCAAUAUUGUGUCCAAAACUUUGAUCACAAUCUCUUUGAAAAUCAUACUAGAGAUCACUGUAAAUUGGUGGGAAAGAUUGCUCCCUGUGGCUGAAGCAUGUUGCUUGAAUAAAUGCACUUCUGCCACUAGAGUUCAUGUGGACAUUAGUCCUCCCAAACCAGCAUCCAUGGAGCAGGUUGCCAAGAUUGAGUUUAAUUUGCGUAAACAAAAAAUCUGUUCGCCAGUUUUGAGUGAGAGCACAUUAACCGAAACAUAUAACCUUACCUCAGCUAGAAUUCUUCUUACCCUUCUUUUGUUGUUGAGUCGUGUUAGUUUUGCCUGAUGUGUUUGGUCUGAAGAAUGUUUGAAUCUGCCCAUUAAUGUUGUUUUGAUAUAGUCCCUUUUUAUCAGUAUGGGCUUGAUGACUAAGGAAGCAGCCAAUUAAUUGCGCAAAUACCUCCUUUCGUUCUGUGGAGAAUACAAAGCAAGCAGGGGAGAGAAAAGAGACAAUUAUCUGAACCGAUGUGACUGUUUUGUAAAGGUAAAUGGACUGUAAUUAUGCAAGACUUCAUGCUUUAUUGCUCUAUUUGACGUGACUUGCUAGAAAGAUAUCAUUUCGUUUGGAAGAUGGAUUGUCCUUGUAAUGUGUACAGGGUGAACCCUGCUGAAAUCCAUCCGCCCGCCGGUCUGUGCCCCAUCACCAUUUCUAAAGCACCCUGCCCUCAUGGCAGUGUCCCAAAGGAAGGGGUUUCCAUGGUAACCUCAAUGGAUACAGUCAGCUGACGUCUGGCACCGCCUGUGCUGGUGUGCGCUAGCCUACUCACUCCCUCGGCCCUCCCUCAAUCCUUUAAACUAUAUUUAUUAGUUCUCUUUAAUGGAAAGUAUAUAAUCCCUUAAUGUCAGACCCUGAGUGGCACUCAGCUUUAUUAAUUUAUUUAGGUAAUAAAUUUACCUU